GUUGGUAGCUGUGUGGUUAAGGCAUUGGGCUACUACAUGGAAGGUUAUGAGUUCAAAUCCCAAUGCCAACA